rnacentral:piRNA from 1 species
UAACACUGAGUUUUUGAAUAA